GUGCUUAUUUCUGCAACAUAUCUCCUUAAAUGGAAGCAAUUCAAGAAAGAUAAGCAUGGUCCUUGUGCAGGGAUGCCAGGCAAAUUGGUGACACAAUUCCAUAGUUUU
rnacentral:snRNA from 1 species